UGGCCCAGUUGGUAGAGCACGGUGUUUGCAACGCCAGGGUUGUGGGUUCGAUUCCCAC
rfam:Salmo salar isolate Sally breed double haploid chromosome ssa06, whole genome shotgun sequence.